GGACUCUAUUGAGGCCCCGUAAUCGGAAUGAGUACACUUUAAAUCCUUUAACAAGGAUCCAUUGGAGGGCAAGUCUGGUGCCAGCAGCCGCGGUAAUUCCAGCUCCAAUAGCGUAUAUUAAAGUUGUUGCGGUUAAAAAGCUCGUAGUUGGUUCUGCGUGCCACGCUGUCGGUUCGCCGCCUGUCGGUGUAACUGGCAUGUCGUGGCAUGUCCUGUCGGUGGUGAACAGAAUCCCCGGUACGAUGUAGGCUUUAUUGCCGAAGUCUGUAUCGUGUGUGAUUCUGUUUGCCGAUCUCUCCUACUCCGGUGCUCUUAAACGAGUGUCGAGGUAGGCCGACACGUUCACUUUGAACAAAUUAGAGUGCUUAAAGCAGGCUGAAAUAUCUGCCUGAAUAGUGGUGCAUGGAAUGAUAAAACAGGACCUUAGUUCUAUUUUGUUGGUUUUAGGAAUAUGAGGUAAUGAUCAAUGUGGACUGGCGGGGGCAUUCGUAUUGCGACGUUAGAGGUGAAAUUCUUGGAUCGUCGCAAGACGCACUAGAGCGAAAGCAUUUGCCAAGUAUGUCUUAAUUGAUCAAGAACGAAAGUUAGAGGUUCGAAGGCGAUCAGAUACCGCCCUAGUUCUAACCAUAAACGAUGCCAGCCAGCGAUCCGCCGAUGUUCCUUUAAUGACUCGGCGGGGAGCUUCUACCCGGGAAACCAAAGCUUUUGGGUUCCGGGGGAAGUAUGGUUGCAAAGCUGAAACUUAAAGGAAU
rnacentral:rRNA from 1 species